GCGGAGUUAGUUCAGCGGUAGAACGCUAUCCUUCCAAGUUAGAUGUCGUCGGUUCGAUUCCGAUACUCCGCUC
rnacentral:tRNA from 5 species